AGCAAUACAUUAAAAAUAACUAAACUUUACAACAAGAAAUAUGAAAUAUAUAAAAAUUAGUGAUAAAAGAGAACAAAGUGUGAGGUGGUGUUCAUGAACUGUUCAAAAAUCUGACGGCUGAGGAAAAGAAGCUGUUCCUAAAACAUUAAGUUAAUAUGGUUAAACGUUGAUAUGGUUAAAUAUUUCUCCAUUUGCAUCCACCGCUCAAUCUUGCUAAUAGCCUUUUCUCCCUCUUCUAUAUGUUAUGUACGGUACGCCUUCCUCUGGUGUGAUUGGCAUGUGUAAUGAUGCUAAAUAGAAAGGCUGGAGUUUACAUUACUAUUGAUGUGACUGAUGCAUCUGAACAUGGACAGAUGGUGCAUCUUCUAAGAAACAGAAGGAAGCAGUCUUGCUUAUAAGUGAGAAGCUCCACUUGUUCUGAAGUGAACUCUCUACAAUUUGGACCAGAUUUGCAUCACAAUGUGGGAGAUCCAGACGCAGAUCCUGGACUGCACAGCUGAACUACGGGAGGAAACCGGUGUGGUCACUGGGAGAAUGUACGAGCACCUUGCAGACAAUGACAGAAAAUGGACACCAAUCUUCUAUUCCUGGAUGCUGUAAAGUGACUCCCACGAUGUUUCAUUGGCAAAAUUAGCGAGGAAUCACGUCAUCAGUGGCACCACGCCCUCAAUGUGCACAUCUUCCAGGCUGCUUCAGGUAAUAGCGAAACACCAGGCCGCGUGGCCGGCUUGAAAGCCAUGGCUUGCGGAGAACCAUAGUUUGAACUGUAGACCACGGACUGUGACAGAAUCCCAGC